UUGGAGGGCAAGUCUGGUGCCAGCAGCCGCGGUAAUUCCAGCUCCAAUAGCGUAUAUUAAAGUUGUUGCAGUUAAAAAGCUCGUAGUUGAACUUCGGGAUCAAUGGAUUGGUCAUGCCGAUGGUGUGUACUGGUCAUAUUGGUUCUCACCUUCUAAGGAACCAUAAUGUCAUUUAUUUGAUGUUGUGGGGAAUUAGGACUGUUACCUUGAAAAAUUAGAGUGUUUAAAGCAGGCUAACGCUUGAAUACAUUAGCAUGGAAUAAUGAAAUAGGACAUCGCAUUCUAUUUUGUUGGUUUCUAGGAUCGAUGUAAUGAUUAAUAGGGAUAGUUGGGGGCAUUAGUAUUCAAUUGUCAGAGGUGAAAUUCUUGGAUUUAUUGAAGACUAACUACUGCGAAAGCAUUUGCCAAGGAUGUUUUCAUUAAUCAAGAACGAAAGUUAGGGGAUCGAAGACGAUCAGAUACCGUCGUAGUCUUAACCAUAAACUAUGCCGACUAGGGAUCGGAUGACGUUGAUUUUUAAUG
rnacentral:rRNA from 1 species